rnacentral:rRNA from 1 species
ACGGCUCAGUAACACGUGGAUAAUCUGCCCUUAGGUGGAGGAUAAUCUCGGGAAACUGAGGAUAAUACUCCAUAGAUCUAGGAUGCUGGAAUGCAUCUAGAUUGAAAGCUCCGGCGCCUAAGGAUGAGUCUGCGGACUAUCAGGUUGUAGUCAGGGUAAAGACCUGACUAGCCUACGACGGAUACGGGUUGUGAGAGCAAUAACCCGGAGACGAUAUCUGAGACACGAUAUCGGGCCCUACGGGGCGCAGCAGGCGCGAAAACUUCACACUGUGCGAAAGCGCGAUGAGGGAAUCCCAAGUGUUUGCUCGUAAGAGUAAACUGUUUCUUUGUUUAAAACGCAGAGAGAGCAAGGGCUGGGUAAGACGGGUGCCAGCCGCCGCGGUAAUACCUGCAGCUCAAGUGGUGAUCAUUAUUAUUGGGCCUAAAACGUCCGUAGCCGGUUUAGUAAAUGCCUGGGUAAAUCGUGUAGCUUAACUAUACGACUUCCGGGUAGACUGCUAAACUUGAGACCGGGAGAGGCUAGAGGUACUCCUGGGGUAGAGGUGAAAUUCUGUAAUCCUAGGGGGACCACCAGUGGCGAAGGCGUCUAGCUAGAACGGGUCUGACGGUGAGGGACGAAGCCCCGGGGCGCAAACCGGAUUAGAUACCCGGGUAGUCCAGGGUGUAAACGCUGCUUGCUUGAUGUUAGUUGGGCUCCGAGCCCAACUAGUGUCGGAGAGAAGUUGUUAAGCAAGCUGCCUGGGAAGUACGGUCGCAAGGCUGAAACUUAAAGGAAUUGGCGGGGGAG